rnacentral:lncRNA from 1 species
GUGGCUCCAUCACCCCCUGGCAGACCGCAAUAAUGGCCACGAUCCUGCUCCACUUCCUGUGACGGAUACCACGUGAUUCCUCCAUCCUCUGGCAAGUCAUGACAACGGAUGCCGCUCCACCCCCUGCGACAGACUCCACGUGGCACAUCCCGGUGAUAGCCACGAUUCCACUCCACUACCGGAUGCCGCUCCACCCCCUGCGACAGACUCCACGUGGCACGUCCCGGUGAUAGCCACGAUUCCACUCCACUACCCUUCGCAACAAACUCCUCCUGACCGUGGGCAGCCUAC